GAAAAAAGAAAAAAGGGUCAUCAACCCGUCAAUCCUUAUUCUAAUAUGGAUCUAUGAGAACCGGAGUUGGGGGAAGGAAAACCAUAAUCCAUAUGUAGUAACCUAUAACCCACUUUCCAAACAGACCAUAGCCAUGCCUUCUCACCGAUCUAUGUCAAGUCUCUGAGCUCCUUCUCACUUUCGGCUUUCUUGAACAGUUGAACAUGUUGUAAACGGAGAUAUACAGAAUAAGCAAAGAGUUGCCGAGUGUAAUAACACCACAACAACCACAAAGAAACAACUUGUUUCAAAGUUUUGGAGAUUCGCUAAUGGAGUACAGAAAAAUCAAAGACCAGGAUGAAGAUGGGAAGGCAGCUGACGAUGAUAUAGAGAGCUUACAUGGGAAAGCUCUUUCAGGUGGUAAUGUGGCCGUCUUUGGAGGUAGCUCUACCGAAAGAUCUAAGUGGAAGCUCAAGUCAGUUGUCACACUUGCGCUGACUGUGCUUACGAGUUCACAAGCAAUACUCAUUGUCUGGUCUAAGAGAGCUGGAAAAUAUGAGUAUAGUGUUACAACCGCAAAUUUCUUGGUGGAGGCUUUGAAAUGUGCAUUCUCCCUCGCAGCCUUGGGAAGAAUCUGGAGAAAUGAAGGUGUUACCGAUGACAACAGGUUGAGUACAACAUUCGAUGAAGUUAGUGUUUACCCCAUUCCUGCAGCACUUUACCUUGUCAAGAACUUACUUCAGUAUUACAUCUUUGCAUAUGUGGAUGCUCCGGGAUAUCAGAUACUGAAGAACCUGAAUAUUAUCAGCACCGGUGUGUUAUAUCGAAUUAUUCUUAAGAAGAAGUUAAGUGAGAUUCAGUGGGCCGCUUUCAUUCUAUUGUGUGCGGGGUGCACCAUAGCACAACUUAAUCCUUCUUCUGAUCAUGUUCUUCAAACUCCCUUUCAAGGUUGGGUGAUGGCAAUUGUCAUGGCCCUUCUAAGUGGUUCUGCAGGAGUGUACACAGAGGCUAUUAUUAAAAAGCGUCCUUCAAGGAACAUAAACGUGCAAAACUUCUGGUUGUAUGUCUUUGGGAUGGCCUUCAAUGCUAUUGCAAUAGUGAUUCAAGAUUUUGAUGCUGUCGUGAACGAAGGGUUCUUCCACGGGUACUCAUUGAUUACAGUCCUCAUGAUUCUUAACCAUGCACUAAGUGGCAUUGCUGUAUCAAUGGUAAUGAAGUAUGCUGACAACAUCGUGAAGGUGUAUUCUACUUCAGUGGCAAUGCUGCUGACAGCGGUUGUUUCUGUAUUCUUAUUUAGGUUUCAUCUGUCCAUUGCCUUCUUCCUUGGCUCCAUUGUUGUCUCUGUCUCAAUAUAUUUACACUCCAUUGGGAAGCUGCAAAGAUAGUGAUGGCAUUUCAUUUAUUCUUAUAGCCCAUUGAGCAUCAAUGUAAAGUCUAAAGGCCAAUAUUCUGUGUUUUUUUAGAAAGUUUUUCGAUUUGAUUGUUUUGAAUUUACCAACUCAUGAGUUUGGAUAAUAUAUGAGUAACAUGAUGUUUUAUCCUGUAAUAUUUACCACCAUUAAAUCAAAUAUCAUAGUGAAGGACAUUUUGAUGUUGAUUAAGAGGAUAAAUUUAAUUAAUAUGGUGUGAUUUUAUUUAAGCAUUUUGUUGUUUUGAGCGGCUGAAGCACGUGGAAGGUUUGGUGUGUGUGUGAAGUGCCAAAUUGUGUCAUAUUGAAGCUUACAUAGGAAGUCCACUUUGUUGUGGAAAGGAUGUAGUUAUGUUUGGAACCUUACAUAGGAAGUCCACAAUUCAAGUUCACAAGGGAUCACUCUGCUAAAUUUCUUACUCGAUGCGCUCUGUGUCUGAAGACUGUUUCUUGCCCUAGCUCGAGCUUCUCCUUCUGUCCUCUCUCUCAAACUGGUUUGGUCUUCCCCAAUUGAUCUAUUUCUUUUCAAUUGAAGUCGUAGCCCCAGAUUUUCUCUUUCUCAAGGUGGGUAUCAACAUGGAGGUCUUGAAGAGCCCCCCAACUGCAGUAGCCGGAAACGAUCUUUCCUGACUUCCUUUGCUCUCCUAUCGACGAGUCCUCUAACACUCUUAGCCGUCUUCAACAUCAAUCCCACCGCCGUUUAUUGGCUUCUUCUUCGUCUAAUUGGGUGAACAUCUAAUUCAAUUCAAUUGAGAGGCAGCAAAGUCAGUCCAUCAACAGUUACUGGGGGUUUUGUUCAGGUAUGAAGACUUGGUUCGUGAUGUUCAUCAUUGCUUGGAUGAUUAUAGACUUGAAGAUUUUAAUUCUUGUAAAAGUUGGCUUGAGAUGCCACUUGUAGCCUUAUUUGUCAAGAUGUGUAUAUUUGAUUCCAUUUGUGUAAUGUGUACAUGAGUACACUCUUUACAAUGUAUUUGACAUGUAUGAGAUGAGGCCGGAGGCCAAUGAUCAUUAUUUUGUAUCCUAUGUAAUUUUUGAUUUCAUGAAAUAUUAUGAAAAUGUUGAAAAA